CCACAUUGGAACUGAGACACGGUCCAAACUCCUACGGGAGGCAGCAGUGAGGAAUAUUGGUCAAUGGUCGGCAGACUGAACCAGCCAAGUCGCGUGAGGGAAGACGGCCCUACGGGUUGUAAACCUCUUUUGUCGGAGAGUAAAGUACGCUACGUGUAGCGUAUUGCAAGUAUCCGAAGAAAAAGCAUCGGCUAACUCCGUGCCAGCAGCCGCGGUAAUACGGAGGAUGCGAGCGUUAUCCGGAUUUAUUGGGUUUAAAGGGUGCGUAGGCGGCACGCCAAGUCAGCGGUGAAAUUUCCGGGCUCAACCCGGAGUGUGCCGUUGAAACUGGCGAGCUAGAGUACACAAGAGGCAGGCGGAAUGCGUGGUGUAGCGGUGAAAUGCAUAGAUAUCACGCAGAACCCCGAUUGCGAAGGCAGCCUGCUAGGGUGCGACAGACGCUGAGGCACGAAAGCGUGGGUAUCGAACAGGAUUAGAUACCCUGGUAGUCCACGCAGUAAACGAUGAAUACUAACUGUUUGCGAUACAAUGUAAGCGGUACAGCGAAAGCGUUAAGUAUUCCACCUGGGGAGUACGCCGGCAACGGUGAAACUCAAAGGAAUUGACGGGGGCCCGCACAAGCGGAGGAACAUGUGGUUUAAUUCGAUGAUACGCGAGGAACCUUACCCGGGCUCAAACGCAGGGGGAAUGCCGGUGAAAGUCGGCAGCUAGUAAUAGUCACCUGCGAGGUGCUGCAUGGUUGUCGUCAGCUCGUGCCGUGAGGUGUCGGCUUAAGUGCCAUAACGAGCGCAACCCCUAUUGACAGUUACUAACGGGUCAAGCCGAGGACUCUGUCGAGACUGCCGGCGCAAGCCGCGAGGAAGGUGGGGAUGACGUCAAAUCAGCACGGCCCUUAC
rnacentral:rRNA from 1 species